rnacentral:rRNA from 1 species
UGGGGAAUCUUGGACAAUGGGGGCAACCCUGAUCCAGCCAUGCCGCGUGAGCGAUGAAGGCCUUAGGGUUGUAAAGCUCUUUCAGCUGGGAAGAUAAUGACGGUACCAGCAGAAGAAGCCCCGGCUAACUCCGUGCCAGCAGCCGCGGUAAUACGGAGGGGGCUAGCGUUGUUCGGAAUUACUGGGCGUAAAGCGCACGUAGGCGGAUAGUUAAGUCAGAGGUGAAAUCCCGGGGCUCAACCCCGGAACUGCCUUUGAUACUGGCUGUCUAGAGAUCGAGAGAGGUGAGUGGAAUUCCGAGUGUAGAGGUGAAAUUCGUAGAUAUUCGGAGGAACACCAGUGGCGAAGGCGGCUCACUGGCUCGAUACUGACGCUGAGGUGCGAAAGCGUGGGGAGCAAACA